AACAGGAAUUCUGCCUUAUCACAGUUGCUGCCCACAAGAAAAUGUGUAAAGUAUCUCCCCUGCGAAAUUUAGCACAAUGUUUUCUAGAGGACAUGAACGUGAAAAGAUACUGGGUAUGAAGCUUGAACACACCAUGCAUUUAAGCCUCAAGAGUUCAGGAUGAAUGCCUGUAGAGACCAUGAAUGCUGCAUGCUUCCAUCUGAGACAUGUUCUCUCAAGAACUGCAAUCCUAUUUCUGCUGGUAUGUACUGUAAAGAGGCAGGAUGAAUCAGCAAUGUGUAGCUGCUGACUAGCAAUUGAAAGUAACAUAUAUUAAUAAUCAGUGAUAUUUGAGGACAAAGGGAGCCAAAGUUACUAACAGGCUUUUCAAUCCUAACAGCAAAUGUGCAUACAAUAGUAAAAAGCAGUGUUUGCACAAACCACAAAGCUGCAGAGCAUAUUAAUAAGACUGCUUUGUCAUUUUAACCCCUAAUACACUUAGCUCAUUAACAAUUUUAGUUUACUGUGUUAUCCAAAGCCAAAGUGGCCAUCCGAAUUUUUAAAUACUAUUACAUCUUUGGUAUCCAUUCUCUUUAUAUGCUUUAGUAAUAUAAAAUAGUACAUUUGUACAUCUAAAAAUAUUUUAUCUGUUCAAACCCUAAAUUCAACAGGAAGACAAGAUAUUCAAGUCUGCCAUUAAUCAACAUUUUGGGCAUAAAGAAGCAAGUACAUUAAGAGAACAAUAAGAUCAACUUAAUUACAAUUUAUUGCCUUUCAAUGAUGCUUAAAAUCUGUUGCCUGAAGUAGCUAUCAUUUAAUGUUUUCUUAUAUAACUAAAAUAGGAAAUGUACAUUAUCUUAAUAGUAGAUGCUCAUUCCAACUAUGUAUGAAUCUCCCAUUAUUAUUUUAAUAUGUGCAUUAACACUGGAAUGCAAAUCCAUGUUUAUCAUUUCCAGAUAUAAUUCAAUGUUGGACUUCUAUAUUAAUUUUGAAUUAUGUAUCAGGAACCUUCCAAGCAUUCACUGGGUGUCUGUGCUAUGGAAACGUAUGUUGUGUUUUAAAAAUAAGUGAUCCAACUGUUAGUAUAUUUUAUAUAAUUUAAGAAUCAUGGUAUAUCAUGCUCAUUUACAACAAUUAUACAUAAAUAACUAAUGACUAAAUAAAUAAUUUUACCCAUCUUUUAAAAAUCCAGAAAAAUAAUUUGAUGUAAUAUCUUCAGAAUAACAAAAGUGGCAACAAAAACUUUUAUAAAAAUCAUGGGACAUAGUAAAAAAAAAUCAGUUUUAUUACUUCAUAUAAACUUUCCUGAAUUUCAGUACGAUAAACCUGGUUUGCCUUCAAGGUAACACAGAACUCUUAACAAUUUUGCUGCAAAUAAAGGAGUCUGUGAAGGAAUAAUAAAACAUAAAGGUCACAUUUACAGAUGUUCAUUUUCUUAGCAAUACGCUAUUGACUAGCACUAUAACAAAAGAUAUAUACAUGCAAAAAUAUAUCAGCGUGUUAAAAGAUAUUUUACCAAGAUACUAGGAUCAUCACAUGGUGAAAUGUUUCAAUGUAUUAGGAUAGAUAUAAAUUUUUUAUUUAUUGAAUUUCUAUACUUCCUAUCUAUAGCAGACAAGGAGGCAGGACUAAUUAAUUAUAAAUAAUUUAGUAAUAAAAACAGAAAAUGGAAAAUAAACAUUAGAUAUUCUAAAACCAAAAUUUCUUCUAUUUUAUGGCUGAUGUUUUAAGAUUCUCUCAAGGGGCUCUUGGUUAAUACAAGAAACUGUUAAAAAAUUUUUGUAAACUAUGAGUACUCACAACAUUUAAUGUAUUUGAAAUCAAACUAUGUAUUUCUACUUAACCAUAUUCUAUUUUUUAAAAAAGAUGAAAAUGGAUUGACUGCCAAAUUCACACAACUUUACAAAUACUUUUGGUACCUGAUUGAGUGAUAUUUUCCUAAUUUAUAAAUGUGGUUAGAAUAGAAACAGAGAAAACUGAUAGCAGAAAAAGAUCUAGUGGUCUAUCUAGUCUGUCCUUUGAGGGUUUUUGUUUGCUUGUUUGUUUUGCUUGUUUGUUUUGUUUUUAAUUAAUUAUUUUUAAUUAUUAUUAUUAUUUUUUAAAUUUUAUUUUAUUUUUAACUUUUGUUGGAUGAUGGACAAGUGUUUAUCCUAAAUUUCAAGCAUGUGAAAAUCAGGCAGUUCAGGCAGUUCAGAUAUGCUUGAUGGCAUUUGGGAGGCAUUUUUUUUAAAUUUGCAUUUAUAUCCCACCCUUCUCCGAAGACUCAGGGCGGCUUACACUAUGUCAAGCAAUAGUCUUCAUCCAUUUGUAUAUUAUAUACAAAGUCAACUUAUUGCCCCCAACAAUCUGGGUCCUCAUUUUACCUACCUUAUAAAGGAUGGAAGGCUGAGUCAACCUUGGGCCUGGUGGGACUUGAACAUGCAGUAAUUGCAAGCAGCUGUGUUAAUAACAGACUGUCUUAGCAGUCUGAAUCACCAGAGGCCCUUCAAGUAAAUUGAUCUUUUGUAAUUGUUUUUGUUUGCUUUGUUGAACAAUUUUUAGAAAAUUAAAGAGAUACUGAUCAGUAAACUCGUGGUUGGCAUAUAUAUGCAUAUGUGUGCGCACAUUCACAUGCACACACACACAUACAUAUUGUAUGUGUCUCUUAAUUCCAUAAAUAGAAGCAGGUGUGUAGGACAUCUAAUGUAUUUUUCUAUAGCUGUUAUAAAAAGUAGUGUUUUGGUCUCUUUAACAGCCUUGAUGUGGUGGUAUGUAAUAACAUGCUAUUUAAUUAACAUAUUUUUGUCUCUUUACAGAACAAUGCCCUGGAACAAAUGUCCUAAAAUAUAUGCCUUGUACAGCAAUUAGAUUGUAACCCAGUGUGUCAGAUUUUAUCAACAUUGCUCACAGUUGGAAUUACUGGAAAUGAAUUUCAUCACAAAUGAAAGAAUACUACCAAAACUUUCAGAAUUUCCAAAGAGGCACAGAAAACAAAAGCUUUCUAUUAACAUUCUUUUUCAACCUCUGUUUCUUUAGAAUAAAAAACUGCAAUCUAAUUCAAGUUAAAAGUUUCAUUAGAAACUAAUCAGUAAGUUAAGAACUUGCAUGCAUAGAGCACAAUGCCUGCAAGCACCAAUGGGCAUAUCUGGAUGCUUUUAUUAGAAAAUAAUUGAUCAGGGGACUAUUGCCCUUGAGACUAUGUGUGACUAUUUGAAAAGUGGUUACCAGGAUUAGUUGUAAGCACUGAUAAACAAAUAGUCCGUUCAUUCAGCAAUUCUUCAAAAUUAUGGAGGCACUGGACAACUAAUCAAAUGUCCAUCUCCAAAGUUAUAGCAAUUGCAGCCCCCCCCAGUGGUCAUAUGAUCAAAAUUUAGGUACUUGGCAGUAUAUCUGCACAUAUGACCAUAGGGGCGCAUCUGCUCCCCCCUCCCCCCUCUCUAUUUCUGCCCUUUUGGCUGCUCUACACAGUUGCACUUGGCAGUAGUGUCCUGGGGCUGAAGUAGAGGCCGGGAGCCUUCAGUAAUCUCCACCAUCUGCCACCACCACUGGAUUUCUACUUUUGCCUCUGUGCUGCGCCAGAGUAUUGCCUCAAGAUCCAUGCUGCAGCCAGCUACCACAGCACAAACUCCAGCCAGUCUGCCAGCCUGAGUUCCAAAGCCCUGUCACACCUUCAGGAAGAGCGGCUGGAACAGUCAACAGUUGCCUCACAUAGGACCAGACUGGGUACUCCUUGUCAGCAGUGGGAAGAAGAUGACAAAGGUUAAUUGAGCACCGCACAGCCCGUGGAGCACAGGGCAGCAAGAGUGCUUGAAGUUUGAUCUUUGGUCCCCAAGUCCCCGUACACAGCGCAUUAAAUGCAGAGCAGGACAAAAAAAAAAAAAAAAACGCUCAAAGAGGCUUCUUGCCAAAUGGAGGGAGAGGCCUUCGUAUUUGAAGACAGCUGACUGCAGCUUGACUUCAAAGACAGCUCUGACCCGUUUCUGCACUGGAAACAACUGACUGAUCUCCAGCUCUUGUGUGAUGUCCUUGUGGAUUCUGCUCAUGAAAUUCUGCGCCUGGACUGGCUGAUUAACCUGACUUGGCUCUCUGAACUUGGAUUUUGGAUUUCUCUCCUACUGAAAGCCAAACCAUUUAAGCAGGCUUGCUUUUUCAGAGACGUUUGUGUUGAUUUAUGAUCUUCCCUUGUCUGCUGCUAUUUGCUUACUUUUGAAGUAGGUUGCUAAUCUCCAUAGGAACUCUGUAAAUGUGUAAAUGAAACUCGAAGCAGCACACUUACCUUACCAAGACUAAGACCUGGGUGGGACAAAGCCAGGAAUGUCUAAGAUUGGAAUGGGUCCUGGACAAAUGACUAAUAGGAUUUGGUAAAUGAUCGCAAUAGGGAGUGUUGAGAUUGUCAUCACUAAGCAGUUUACAACUACAUUGUUUAGCAACUUAAAUUCCAUUCCCAAUUACCAUCAUAUAGUGCAUUCAGAAAGUAUUCAGACCCCCCUUCCAUAGAAAGGUGUGUGCCUUUCCAAAUCAUGUCCAAUCAAUUUAAUUUACCACAGGUCAGUGGUGAAAUCCAAUUUUUUUUAAUCAGCAGUCCUGUGUGCGUGGCUUGAUGGGCAUGGCAGGGGAAGGAUACUGCAAAAUCUCCAUUCCUUCCCCACUCCAAGGGAAGGAUACUGCAAAAUCCCCAUUCCCUCCCCACUCCUGGAGGAAGGAUAUUGCAAAAUCUCCAUUCCCACCCCACUCUGGGGCCCGCUAGAAGUGGUAUUUGCCAGUUCUCCGAACUAUUCAAAAUUUCCGCUACCGGUUCUCCGAACUGCCCAAAAUUUCUACUACCAGUUCUCCAGAACCUGUCAGAACCUGCUGGAUUUCAUCCCUGCCACAGGUGUAGAAACAUGUCAGCAACGAUUAAGAGAACUGGGAGACACCUAAGCUAAAUUUCAAGUGCUGGUGCAAAGGCUCUGAAUACUUAAUGCCAGUGUGAUAUUUCAGUUUUUUCUUUUUAAUAAAUUUACAGACAUUUCUCAAAUUCUGUUUUCACUUUGUCAUUAUGGGAUACAGCGUGUAGAUUAAUGAGGGAAAAAAUGAAUUUCAACAACUGUAGAAUCAGAAUGCAGCAUAACAAAAUUGACAAAUGUUAAGGGGGUCUGAAUACCUUCUGAAUGCAUUGUAGCUCUUGGACUACUUGUAGAUCUAUUGUAUUUUCUCCGAGAUAUAAAGAUGGAAAAAGAAAUGAGGAUAUAUUCAGGACCCACUGAUUGGCCACCAUAUCAAGCAAAAGGUAAACAAUCAGUUAUUAAUUGAAUCAUAAUUGGCUUCCUUUACAAAUGAUAGUGGCCGGAAUCACACAAUGCACUAAGCUAAAGCCAAAUAAAAGAAUAUUGCAACUAAUUAGAUAAAACACUAAAGUAAAAUUGAUGGCCCUAGUUAUAAAUAUAUUAAAUUAAAAUUAGAUUACACUCAUUGGGUAAAAAUUAUCUAGAAAUAUAAUAAUACAGGUUGUCUACAUUUUUUAAGAUUUGGGAUUGCUUGUACAGUUUUUGCUCAUUAAUGAGAAUUGGCUGCAAUCCCAAAACCUUUAAAAAUUUGGUUUUUAAAGGUUUUUUAAACCUUUAACAACCUUGGUUACUAUAUUUCUGGGUAACUUUUUAAACUGGAAAUUAAACAUUCAGAAAAAUUGUGGAUGAAGAUUAGUUGUGCUGCUUGUAUUUCUCCUGCCCGCACUUCUCAUUAAAUUUUCCUAGCAAUAUAGAUGUGUUUCCCAAUCUCUUGAAAGGGAUUGGGAAUUAACUGUUUAUCCUUCAAAGAUAAAUAGGUGUUCAAGAUGUGUGUGUUCUAAUUUACAUAAACAAAAACUGAUGUCAGAAACAAGAUGUUCUGAAAAGUAAAAGACCAACUGAAAAAUAGAUUAAGGUGAUGAAAUAAAUGAAGAGUGGAAGAAUAUGGGAACUCCAGACUCCAAAUUGGAAGGUGACUUUAUUCUAAGCCUAUUUACCUGCAUUGUGCAGAAUGCAAAAAAGAAUGGGACAAAUAAUCUCAAGAAGUAACCUGCAUAUUAGAUGACUACUCUCAUUUCGUCUGCCUUCUGCUUUUUCUUGGCCUAGAAAAUGGUGUUAUAUGUGAAAUCUUGCUUUUUUGGGUUCAUGUGUACUGGUGAAGGGAUGAGCUCUCAUUUGACCCAACUCCAUUGGGACUAGUUAAAGACAACACCUUCUGGUGGCUGUUGUCCAUGGAGUGCUUUCAAAAACAAACAAAUGCUCACUCUCCAGGGUCUUGUCCACCAGGCACUUCUUGUUAUUUAGAAAGUAUUUACCUGAGAUGAUGUGUUUAAAAUCCAAAUCUAAAAAGGACUUUACUGCUUUAUGAAUGGCCUAGCCUGCUGAACCAGCAUAAGAAGUGACCUUUACAUACAGUCCAAACAUAUUAGUUAUGAUACAAAUGUUUUUGGAAUGUGGUUAUCUCAUCAGAGCCAAAUUACAGAUAUCUCUAUAUUAGAAAUCGGGAACUUUGAAUGACAUAGCCAGUGAUGGAGGAUCCUUCAAGAUGUACUUCAGCAAUAAAUAUAUGAAGAGUCAUAAUUUUUCCUGGCCCAUGAGGAUAGGAUAGGGAUGACAAACAUUAAAGUCCGAGUAAAAUGAAAUACAGAAAAAUUGUAUUUAGCCUACUAACAGCAAUUCCCAAAACAGCCUUCCCUAGAUAAAACAUACCCACAUAUAUAUUAAAUGGAACCAACAAGGUAGCAAGUUAAAAUGAAAUGAAUAAAAAUGACAGCAACAUAAAGUUUGGCUCAGAUGAAGCUUGAGGUCUAAUGUUUUCAUUGAUACACCCAGCUAGGUUUUUUUGGGGCAACAAUAUAGACAUGGUCCUUGCUUCUCGCAGGACAUGUUUUGAUUCUCCAAACUAACUUAUAGCUCCAUUUUGCCUUGGUCGUUUUCCACCUGAGUACUGACCAAAUCUGAUGCUUCUUAACUUUCUUAGUCAUGAUUGAUGAAAUGCUGCUAACUUGCUGGACAUGCUUGCUAAGUAACAUGUUGGAUAUUCUUGCUAAUUGAAAUGUUAUGUAAAUAUCGAUAUGGUGAGUUUUGUUAAAAACCCCUAUUGAACUCACAUGAGACAGACUGAAUCCCUUGAUGAAUUGUAACCCAGCUAUUUCAGAUAGAAACGUUAUUUGAAUUUGUUUUGCUUAAAAUGCUAUGAAAAGCUGAAAUGUCUUAUUUUCUGAAUAUACUUAUUUUAGAAAUCAACAAAUAGCCUUGACUUCAACUUUGAGCUUAUUCAAACUGGUGACAACUCUUGAUUUUAGACAAUGGAAAGCUUCUGAUCCAUUGUCAAACCAUUUAGGAUAUUACCUAAUCCUGUUAGUCUUUCAUAAGAUGCUAAAAACCUGGCUUUCACAAACCUGAAUGUGUUAAGGGUCUGGCUGCAUUUCUAACUGACCAAGUAUCUUGCUCCCAUAUAUUAACCUGGAUAUUUUAGUGUUUUUAUUGCUUUAAAAUGUUUUUAGUAUUUUUAAUUGUAAUGUAUUUUCUGAAUUGCAGGUCCCUCAGAAUUAUUGACUGGGGUGGCCAGCUAAAGAAGUUCAAUAAAUAACUAAAUAAAUAAAUCAUCCAAAUUGUAAAUUUUAGUUUAUUGUGUGACUACAUAAUAGCUUAGUUUACAGGCACACUAAGUAAAAAUUAUCUCCUACCGUGUUUCCCCAAAAAUAAGACCCUGUCUUAUAUUUUUUUGAACCCUGAAAUAAGCAUUUGGCCUUAUUGCCAUGCGCUCAAAAGCCCGAUUGGGCUUAUUAUCAGGGGAUAUUUUGGGGGAAACAGGGUAUAAAUAAUUAUAACUUGAUAAAAUCUCAUGUAGGCAAAACUAAUCCUUUCCCCCCAGUUUAUAACUUAGUUUGUUAUAAUGGACUCAGUUCAAUCAUAUCAAAUCAUGAGUAACUUAUCCAUAACUUAUUAAAUAAAAAGAACUGGCUGAAUUUACAUAACACACUCAGCUCAAAUCUUGGAGGAAUACAACAUCUAAAUCAAACCAACCACAUUAUAGCUUAUUACAAUGAAUGUCUUUUGUUGCUGUGCAAAGAGAAGGUAAAACACACACAUACAAAAUAAUAAUUGUGCACUUGGAGAGUAAUCAGAAUUGUUUAGGAGGUAGGUUUAGUUUCAACAAUACCUUUUUUAUAUCCUGUUUAAUAUGUCAAGCUCUGGAAACCAAACACCACAAUUUGUACUUGAUGAAAUGAUAUGCUGGUGCUUAGAUUGCCUAAAUAGGCCUCUGCAUGUAUAAUUGUAAGAAGAUUAAGUCCAAUGGAAUUUAUUCCUAGCUGAGUGUGCAUAAUAGUGUAGCCUUAACCAUUCAGGUUUCAAAGAUCCCUGCUUCAGUUCUAUAAAUGUUCUAGCCUGCAUACUGUCUGUUAUCACAAAUACGGCUUCCUGAUCAACUUUAAACACUUCGAAUGAAUGAAUGAAUAAAGCAUGUAGUGGAUAUGUUAAGCCUAUAUACAUCCCUUCACACACCAUGCUAGGAUAUAAUGUGGUUUGGUAAACCACAUUAUUAUAGUUUCUAAACCACGUUUCCAGUUUAAGGUGUUGUUCAAACACAACUAAUAAGGUUUCCUGAAAACACAAUGGAUGAACUCAUCUAAUGAAUCACAUCAAAUGAAAUCCAGCUAUCAUAUUAGCAAACAGUUAGGUACAGAGUAUGUUUGCAUGUUUGUUAAACCAUCUUGCUUCGUUAAUGAAGCUAUUCCAAUGGAAAAACAAUUGUCUAGUCAUAUUUGUGUUAAGAUGAUUAUUGGAACUGCUGUAAUAAGCUCUGUGCUUUGGUAUUGUUACAUCCUAAUAAAGAGAUGAUUUUUUAAAAUGGGAAGUCUCUUUUCCUAGUUUAAGAGCCAAUUUGUUUCAAAUUUGCUCUGUUUGUAAAUUUGUAAGUUAAAAAUAUAGAUAUGAGAGAUACCAUCCUAUCCUAUCCUAAAUAUUUUCAAUCAUUUUAGGGAAAUUAAGUUGUUUAUACUAUUACUAGCUUUUCACACUUGUUAAAGCAGGAAGCAUAUAAUGCUAUGAAAGCAACAGACAGAAGCACAUGAAUGCAAUUUUUGGGGUAUUUCCAUACUGUUUUCUAAUUUUAUGGCAUAUUAACAGCAUUGAGGUGGGUAAAAUGAGGACCCAGAUUCAAUCAAGAACAUUGAUAAGACAAUAUUUAGAAUAAUUCUAAUGAUACCUUAUUUCUACUUAUUGCAACUAAACAGGACAUUAAUAUUUACUAUACAACAAGAAACAAAAGAGUUAUUACAGGUGAAUCGCUGACCACAAGUCUUCAUGCUAUGGUAUAUUGUUGUGCUCAUCUGUUGCUUCUACAAUAUUUCAGGAAGUUCUUAAUGGAAUUUUCCUGAUUGCAUUUAUUGUAGUGUCAUAGCAUUUUAAGAUUAUACCAGUAAAACCAAAAUAAUAUCAGGGUAUAAACACAGGAUGGAUGGGUGAAUAUUUGAAGAAAUAUAAAUGAGGAAACUUGCAUAAAUUUCCGUCGCUCCAAACAAGUAAGUGAAGCAAAUUACUGUUAGAAGGUCGGUGAGGGAUGACUUUUAAUUCUUCAUUAAAAAAUGUGGGGAGCAAGUACCUGUAGCAGCAGCAAUAGCAGCUGAGAACUUUGAGCUGUGGUUUGCAAGGUGAAAAAGAUUACACAAUAUUGCGAAGGACAAAAAAAAUACAAAUGGUUUCAUAGGUCUAUGGCAACUGCCACUUUUCACAUACAGUAUACGGUACUAUGACAGGAUAUGAUGAUUUUCUCUCAGGAUUUAGCCCCAUUUUUCAGAGUUUAGGCAAUGCGGUGCACACCAUCCCCAAUGGACCUUGAGAUUGGGCCACUGAAAUUCAAUAGAAAUGAACCAAUCUCUAGUUACAAAUUUACUGAACAUUUUGUGUUGUUGUCUGUAUAUGCUUCUUCAAGUUGAGAGGUUAAAAAUAAAUGUUAAAGUCCUGUAAAAUAUUCAAAUCUAAAUCAAACUGCAUCCCCCACACCAAAAGGAUAUAGUGGCGUUCCUUAAGGCAGCGUUCUUGGACCAACACUCUUCAUACUAUAUAUAAAUGAUCUUUGUGACCAUAUCUCAAGUAAUUGUGUUCUCUUUGCUGACGAUGUCAAACUAUUUAACACCACAGACAAUACAUCUACCAUUCAAAAAGACCUUGAUCAUCUAACCGCUUGGUCCAAAACUUGGCAACUCCAAAUCUCAUCCAGCAAAUGCUCAGUCUUACAUAUUGGAAAAAAGAACCCAAACACUAAGUACAUACUUGAUGGACAUUACCUUGCAGAUGACCCCCACCCUGUUAAAAACCUUGGAGUUUUCAUAUCAAAUUAUCUAAGUGCCAAAGCCCACUGCAACUACAUAGCAAAAAAGCUCUAAGAGUUGUAAACCUAACCUUGCAUAGCUUCUUUUUCAAAAAGACUACACUACUAACCAGAGCAUAUAAAACAUUUGCUAGACCAAUUCUAGAAUACAGCUCGCCUGUCUGGAACCCUCACCACAUUUCUGACAUCAAUUACAAUUGAGCAUGUCCAGAAAUAUUUUACAAGAAGAGUUCUUCAUUCCUCUGAAAACAACAAAAUACCUUAUCCCACCAGACUUGAAAUCCUAGGCUUAGAAAACUUGGAACUCCGUCGCCUUCGAAAAGACCUAAGUUUAACUCAUAGAAUCAUCUAUUGUAAUGUCCUUCCUGUUAAAAACUACUUCAGCUUUAAUUGCAAUAAUACAAGAGCAAGCAAUAGAUUUAAACUUAAUGUUAACCGCUUUAAUCUAGAUUGCAGAAAAUAUGACUUCUGUAACAGAAUCAUCAGUGCUUGGAAUACUUUACCUGACUCUGUCGUCUCUUCCCAAAAUCCCAAAAGCUUUAACCAAAAACUUUCUACUAUUGACCUCACCCCAUUCCUAAGAGGACCAUAAGGGGCGUGCAUAAGAGCACAAACGUGCCUACCGUUCCUGUCCUAUUGUUUUUUUCUUUUAUAUAUAUAUAUAUAGGUCUUUGGUUGUUCGGGUUUUCUCCCGUGUA